AUAUAUAAUGUGUAACAACUGUAAUAAAGGUUCAUAUUGAGAACACAGCACAUGUGAGGUCCCUAUGUCACUGGUCACAUACAGUAUAUAUAUAUAUAUAAUGUGUAACAACUGUAAUAAAGGUUCAUAUUGAGAACACAGCACAUGUGAGGUCCCUAUGUCACUGGUCACAUAUAUAUAUAUAUAAUGUGUAACAACUGUAAUAAAGGUUCAUAUUGAGAACACA